rnacentral:rRNA from 1 species
UACGGAGGAUGCAAGCGUUAUCCGGAAUUAUUGGGCGUAAAGCGUCCGCAGGUGGUUUUGAAAGUUUGCUGUCAAAGCGCGAGGCUCAACUUCGUAUCGGCGGUGAAAACUUCAAGACUAGAGCUAGGUAGGGGUCACGGGAAUUCCCAGUGUAGCGGUGAAAUGCGUAGAUAUCGAGAGGAACACCUGCGGCGAAGGCGGGUUGCUGGGCUGAUACUGACGCUGAUGCGCGAAAGCCAGGGGAGCGAACGGG